UUGUCAGCUGGGUGUGGCACAAAUGGGAAGUGACCUUGCCAGAGUGGUGGACCCAGGACCUGCAGAGAAGAGUGGUGCUGAGGAUUGGCAGUGCCCACUCCUAUGCCAUUGUGACUUUGACUUCAGCUCGGCGGGACUGCAGCGGUCUGUGCUUCUGUUCACGACACUCACCACCUGCAUUGAUGACAUCACCAUCACCGUCACCACCAGCGUGGAGCAAGACAGUGGUUCCCAUCCACCUACAAAGCUCAAAUCCAGACGGUCUGAGCGGGCACCGGCUGUCAAAAUCACCUGUGUGG
rnacentral:lncRNA from 13 species